rnacentral:rRNA from 1 species
AAGUUGAGUGGCGAACGGGUGAGUAACACGUGGGCAACCUGCCCAAAAGAGGGGGAUAACACUUGGAAACAGGUGCUAAUACCGCAUAACCAUAGUUACCGCAUGGUAACUAUGUAAAAGGUGGCUAUACUACCGCUUUUGGAUGGGCCCGCGGCGCAUUAGCUAGUUGGUAGGGUAAAGGCUUACCAAGGCAAUGAUGCGUAGCCGAAUUGAGGGGUUGAUCGGCCACAUUGGGACUGAGACACGGCCCAAACUCCUACGGGAGGCAGCAG